CAAAACCAUCACCGAUUCCUUCUGAACCGAAGCAUCAGUAUUGUAUUGAUUCUGUUUUAGCUGUGUUUCAAAGUUUUCGUUGGCAGCCCAGAAAUAGACGCAGAAAUUGGCAUUAUAUCUUUAAAAUGACAAAGUUGGCAACAGUGCAAGUGAGAAGUUACAGAGACUCUAUCUGCAGAAGCAACAACAACAUGGAAGUUCUAGGCAUCAGCUGGUCACACUUCUGAAAGAGCUGGAGCUUCUUGAAACCCCGCUGGCAGCGCAAGGACAGCACAAGGCCAAGCAUCAGACGCAGGAAGCCCACGUAGCGGCCGCCAUCACCGGGUGGAGAGGCCAGACUAAAGAGGGCAAGAAAAACCAGGCUGCCCAAGUUCCACAAGAAACUGUGAUGGACAUUCAGAAGCAGAUCCAAAGCCUGGAAGUCAAUCACAUUCCAGCCCAGCUGGAAGAGACUAAGCGCGGCAUGAAGGUGCUUCUCAAAGACCAGGGAACGAGCACCUGUGACGACGACGCUCAGAUUCAGUUUAGGGAUGUGGCUGUGGUCACUGAUUCAUCAGCAGAGCGUUUGGCUGCAGAAGAGCUGCUGGAGUCUCUGAGGAAAGUGGAGGACGUGGUUUCACAGGCCUUGCGGGCAGCUCAGGUGCUCAUGGGCAGCGAGGAGAGGAUAGAGGCCAUCGGCAUGAGGGUGGAGAAAGCACUGAGCAGAGCUGAAGCUAUUGAGAGUCAACUCAGUGCCCUGGAGGCCACCAUCUCUGCUAACACACAGUCGUUCUGUAUGUCUCAGUCCGAGGCCACCGGGCUCCUGGUGGAUCGUAGCUCAGCCGCCGUUACGUCCUUUUCCACACCUGAACCUGUCGCUCAGGAGAGCGUCCUCACUCCACU
rnacentral:lncRNA from 1 species